GUGGGGAAUAUUGCACAAUGGGCGCAAGCCUGAUGCAGCAACGCCGCGUGAGGGAUGACGGCCUUCGGGUUGUAAACCUCUUUUAGUAGGGAAGAAGCGUAAGUGACGGUACCUGCAGAAAAAGCACCGGCUAACUACGUGCCAGCAGCCGCGGUAAUACGUAGGGUGCAAGCGUUGUCCGGAAUUAUUGGGCGUAAAGAGCUCGUAGGCGGCUUGUCGCGUCUGCUGUGAAAACCCGAGGCUCAACCUCGGGCUUGCAGUGGGUACGGGCAGGCUAGAGUGCGGUAGGGGAGAUUGGAAUUCCUGGUGUAGCGGUGGAAUGCGCAGAUAUCAGGAGGAACACCGAUGGCGAAGGCAGAUCUCUGGGCCGUAACUGACGCUGAGGAGCGAAAGCAUGGGGAGCGAACAGGAUUAGAAACCCUUGUAGUCC
rnacentral:rRNA from 1 species